AGUUUGAUCCUGGCUCAGAUUGAACGCUGGCGGCAGGCCUAACACAUGCAAGUCGAACGGUAACAGGAAGAAGCUUGCUUCUUUGCUGACGAGUGGCGGACGGGUGAGUAAUGUCUGGGAAACUGCCUGAUGGAGGGGGAUAACUACUGGAAACGGUAGCUAAUACCGCAUAACGUCGCAAGACCAAAGAGGGGGGACCUUCGGGCCUCUUGCCAUCGGAUGUGCCCAGAUGGGAUUAGCUAGUAGGUGGGGUAACGGCUCACCUAGGCGACGAUCCCUAGCUGGUCUGAGAGGAUGACCAGCCACACUGGAACUGAGACACGGUCCAGACUCCUACGGGAGGCAGCAGUGGGGAAUAUUGCACAAUGGGCGCAAGCCUGAUGCAGCCAUGCCGCGUGUAUGAAGAAGGCCUUCGGGUUGUAAAGUACUUUCAGCGGGGAGGAAGGGAGUAAAGUUAAUACCUUUGCUCAUUGACGUUACCCGCAGAAGAAGCACCGGCUAACUCCGUG
rnacentral:rRNA from 1 species